UAAACUGGUUGCCACAAAUACCUUUGGGCUACCUAGGAUAUAAGGCAGAUCAAGACAGUUUGACCCACAAUUCAAUGGCACCAUUAAAGACAGGAGUUUUUUUUUUGUUGGGAUGGCUAUUGUUGGCAUAUUAGCAUUUUUGUGGGAUCUUUCAAAUAUCAGCCUUUUCUGGCCUGAAUUAUGUCUGUCCUACCACAAAGGUUUGUGUGACAAAAUGCCCAACGGAAAACUCAUUU